rnacentral:rRNA from 1 species
UACGAAGGGGGCUAGCGUUGUUCGGAUUUACUGGGCGUAAAGCGCACGUAGGCGGACUGUUAAGUCGGGGGUGAAAGCCCUCAGCUCAACUGAGGAAGUGCGCCCGAAACUGCAGAGCUUGGAGUCGCCGGGAGAGGGUGGCGGUAACUUCCCCAAGUAGAGGUGAAAUUCGUAGAUAUUCGCAAGAACACCAGUGGCGAAGGCGGCUCACUGGCCCGGUACUGACGCUGAGGUGCGAAAGCGUGGGGAGCAAACAGG